AUUAUAGGUCGAACUGUCGAAGCGACGAAACGUCAGUCCUGAUGAGUCUCUCUCUACUCUCUCUCCUGCCGCCUCGCCAAAACGGAAACGAGAGGGCUGAGGGCUCCAUGGAGAUCGCGGUUUCGAUGUCGGCGAGGCGCCGUGAACUCGCAGCCGGCGGUGGCAGGCCAGCCGUUGGGCGUGAAGGAACAGUAGCGGGCUAAUAUCCGGCCACAAGACGGCGACCGCCGCCGGGGGAGUGCCGCUUGGUGGCGGUGCGCGCCACCCGUUCGGCGGAAUGCCCAGCGGGACUUCGCCACGGACGGGCGGCUCGCCGCACGCCGCUUCAGUCGAUCGCGAGCACGAUCCACACCUCGAGGAUUUGUAAGUGACCCAAUCUGUACGGGAUUCCAACUAAUUCAGAAUUCAAGUCCGACGGGGGCGGAGUGCACGGGGACCUCACCAUCACUGCAGCGAGGAUCCCUCUUGUUGCGUCUGCUAUCGAUUCUUCGAUUUAUGAGGUGUUAUGUGCGCAAGUACAUGCAACUAUGGACAAAAUUGGAACCGAGCUACGAUUACACAUGAGACGGACGACAACCACUCUUGCACUGCAUAAGGAGGUUGAAGUUGAUGGACCGUGGACCGCUGUUGAUAUUGUUAGCAACAUCAGGCAUGUCGACCACACAUCUGUUGGUCAUGCUGCUGCUGCUGUUGCACUUCUGUGGUUGGCCAAACUCUAUGUUUGCAGUCAUUCUAUCCAUGUUUGGGAGUGUGAAGGAUGAUGCAUUGAAAACCAUGGAUGCAAUGUCAAUCCCAGCUGUAAUAUCAAGUGGGAUUGCUGAGAGGAUACCCAUGGUCUGAUGCUCUGCAACCGGUGAGGGUAGAGGUACAGAUGCAUCUGGCCUGCUGUUGCUGUCAAUCAUGCUGAGUGGGUUGUGGCAUGAAGGAACUGUUGAAGGCAAGUAGCUACUUCCGGUGAACUGGAUGGUGGAGGAGAUGGCAUCGGUCAUUACUGAUGAUGUGUUAUCUGAGGUAUGCUGACUUCUCUGUGUGGUCUGCGAGACAGGGGCAGUGUAGGCUUCAUUUGUGCUGGACAAGGGAGGAGAUACCCAUGAGUGUGAGAGCGCUCUUUGUGCCGUGGAAUUGGUUUUCUUGAAAAUCCUGCAGAUUGCCCAGGAAUCCUGCUCAUGAUAAGAAAAAAGAAGAAUAAGAUUAGGGCAGUGUUUUCAGCAUGCCAGUUGCUUACAUUUGGUGGAAUGAUCUUCUCGAGUGGCUUCUUCUGUGGCAAUGAAGGGUCAGUGAGCGAUGGCAGCCGGAACUCGUGCAUCAUCCAGUCAGUUUUGACGCCUUUAGCUGCUCUGCCCUUGUAGAAGACAAGGGACUUCUUCAAGCCUAUGCACUUUGAUCCAUCGGAGGAGUAGAUUGGCCUAUCGGUUCCAGUGGCCUUCCAGAAACCUGCUCCAGUCACCCUGUUUGGCCUUGUGCUGUUCCGAGAACGGAAAAAAGAAUGAAAAUGGAAGUAACAAAUCUUACUUGGGAGAUCCCAUGGAUCAUACUUGUAGAUGUCCAGCUGCCUGAUGAGCUCAAUGGGAAGAGACUUCUGCUGGAUUUUCCUUCUAAGGUAGAAUCUGACGAGCUCUUCAUCCGUUGGAUGAAACCUGAAGCCAGGGUUUUUAUUUGGCUUGUCGUUCGCACCUUUGCCUGCACUCAGGUACAGUUCUUAUAGCAGAAUUUUAAAACCCUCACCUGUUGUUGAACUCAUGCAGGGUCUCUUUGGUCUUUACUCCAUGACGAGGAUCUCGAUGAGCUGUACAACUUCAGCAGUAAUUUUGGGAUUAGCAAUCUCUCUUAUUACACUAAGUUAACUGAACUGUACUUAUGCAUCAUUGCUUAUAUAGCUUAGCAUCUAAUCUAAUAGAGUUCUCACAUAUGCCUCAUUUCUUAUAAUUAGACCUUUGAGAGAAUAAUCUGACUCCUUAGAUAUUUGGAUAAUUAUUUUUUUGUAGUUGUUUCCUUGGGUUGUCCAUAGUGAACUAUGUGGAACAAUUCCCAAGACAUCAGAGACUUCCAAAUUCCAAGGACAAUGUUUUGUGCCCAUCUGUUCGUCGCUAUUCUGAGGGUCCUUAUUUUGUCAGCCCACCUGGUGUGUUCUUAGGCGCAUCCCUUUCUUGGCUAUUAACCAUUUAACCUGCUCAGUCAGUUCUAGCUUCAAGGAACGUUGUCUGCCCUUUGUAGCAUGGUGUCCUGGAAUGGUCGUUCGAGCUGGUGACUGACCUGGUGAGCCAGGCGUAUCUGCCUCUCUCCUCGACAGCUCAAAAAUUUCAGGCUUAAUGGGCUGUCACCACCCAUCUGGGCCGCAAAGAGAAUCAAGUCUUCACCGCAUAUCGUUCUGAUUGUUGCAUUCACCGCUUCACGGGAGUUCAAUCAAGUCUUUCGUGAAUAAUAAUCUAAGAAUAUGCUUCUUUCUGUCCAGCAGCGGCCUGAAAUUCGGUGACGACGGCGACCGACGGACAUAUGUUCAAGCCGACCGUGCAUGGCCGGCGGGUCCCGGCGCCGGACGCACGCAAAGUCGAGCAAUUAACGGCCACAGCUUCAUCUUACACUGAUGGCCGGGAGGCCAUCCACGACGACAUGCGGCAGCAACAGCAGACCUGACGAUCAAGCAGCCAUUGGGCGACUGUUUUGAUAUGCUCCGGGGACCACUGCACCCAUGGCGAUGCAUCGGUCGAAUAACAGCGACUCCUCCGGGUGAUUUUCAGCUCCCAAUGCAAGCUCGAUCGUCCUGCGCUGUGAGGCCAUGCAUGAUAGCGAAAAUGGCUGUGGAGCAAUAGGCGGCAUGCUAGGCUUUACUGGCAUGAUUGUAGUACUGUAUUCUCAUCUAUCCCAAGUUGGUUCCGCGCGAAGAAUGUCGUCGCCGCCCUUAAUUGUGUGGAAGUGUGGUCAUCGUUGUCUCUUAUUCCAUAUAUGUUCAUGGGUGGCACUAGCUAGUAGUGAUAACAGUAGCCAGUGUUGAACGAUCACUGUAUGGUACAUUGGUACAGAUAGCUUGGUCUGUCAGCUAGGUGUUUUAAUUGGUGCUUGGCGGUGGUGGAGAGGAAAAAAAAAUCUUAUGAGACCAGGUCCUAUUUAGACUCUCAGGAUAUGUUUGUUCGAAAAAAAUAUGUAGUAUAAAUCACAUAUGUAAUCCAGUGAUCGAUCUACCUCCAAUAUGUUUAUUCGUGAAAUAAAGUUUUCUAUUUCUUUC